UACGUAGGUGGCAAGCGUUGUCCGGAUUUACUGGGCGUAAAGAGCGCGCAGGCGGUUGUGCAAGUCGCGUGUGAAAGCCCCCGGCUCAACUGGGGAGGGUCACGCGAUACUGCUCAACUCGAAGGCAGGAGAGGGAAGUGGAAUUCCCGGUGUAGUGGUGAAAUGCGUAGAUAUCAGGUGGAACACCGGUGGCGAAGGCGGCUUCUGG
rnacentral:rRNA from 1 species